rnacentral:tRNA from 1 species
GGGUAUAUAGCUCAGUGGUAGAGCACAUGCUUAGCAUGCAUGAGGUCCUGGGUUCAAUUCCCAGUACCUCCA